rnacentral:tRNA from 2 species
CUGAAUAGACGGGCCUCG